ACAUCUUUAUUGAUCAUCAAGUAUGGGAUAGACAGGCACAGGGUGGUGAGGAAAAGUGACAGUAAAAAUAAAAGAUCAAAGGGUCUUAGAAUCUUUACCAGAUACAAAAAUAAUAACUUCACAAUGGAAAUGUGGACUUAUGAACAUCUAUGAACACAGUGAAAAUGGAUGAAGAUUUAAAUGAAACUUCCUCAGUUAUGUAAUCCAAACUACAAAAAUCGAAGUCAAGGGAGAUGGAUGCCAGGUGUUAGCCUAAGAGCUGGCAUAUAU
rnacentral:lncRNA from 1 species